GGGUGAUAGUCCCGUACACGAAGAUGCACAGGUUGUGAGCUCGAUGAGUAGGGCGGGACACGUGACAUCCUGUCUGAAUGUGGGGGGACCAUCCUCCAAGGCUAAAUACUCCUGACUGACCGAUAGUGAACCAGUACCGUGAGGGAAAGGCGAAAAGAACCCCGGCGAGGGGAGUGAAAUAGAACCUGAAACCGUGUACGUACAAGCAGUGGGAGCACUCUUUAUGGGUGUGACUGCGUACCUUUUGUAUAAUGGGUCAGCGACUUAUAUUCUGUAGCAAGGUUAACCGUAUAGGGGAGCCGCAGGGAAACCGAGUCUUAACUGGGCGUUAAGUUGCAGGGUAUAGACCCGAAACCCGGUGAUCUAGCCAUGUGCAGGUUGAAGGUUGGGUAACACUAACUGGAGGACCGAACCGACUAAUGUUGAAAAAUUAGCGGAUGACUUGUGGCUGGGGGUGAAAGGCCAAUCAAACCGGGAGAUAGCUGGUUCUCCCCGAAAGCUAUUUAGGUAGCGCCUCGUGAAUUCAUCUUCGGGGGUAGAGCACUGUUUCGGCUAGGGGGUCAUCCCGACUUACCAACCCGAUGCAAACUACGAAUACCGAAGAAUGUUAUCACGGGAGACACACGGCGGGUGCUAACGUUCGUCGUGAAGAGGGAAACAACCCAGACCGCCAGCUAAGGUCCCAAAGUCAUGGUUAAGUGGGAAACGAUGUGGGAAGGCAUAGACAGCCAGGAUGUUGGCUUAGAAGCAGCCAUCAUUUAAAGAAAGCGUAAUAGCUCACUGGUCGAGUCGGCCUGCGCGGAAGAUGUAACGGGGCUAAACCAUGCACCGAAGCUGCGGCAGCGACGCUUAGGCGUUGUUGGGUAGGGGAGCGUUCUGUAAGCUGUUGAAGGUGAACUGUGAGGUUUGCUGGAGGUAUCAGAAGUGCGAAUGCUGACAUAAGUAACGAUAAAGCGGGUGAAAAGCCCGCUCGCCGGAAGACCAAGGGUUCCUGUCCAACGUUAAUCGGGGCAGGGUGAGUCGACCCCUAAGGCGAGGCCGAAAGGCGUAGUCGAUGGGAAACAGGUUAAUAUUCCUGUACUUGGUGUUACUGCGAAGGGGGGACGACGAAGGCUUCGUCAUCCGGGCGACGGUUGUCCCGGUUUAAGCGUGUAGGUGGGUGACUUUGGUAAAUCCGGGUCGCUGUUAACACUGAGGCGUGAUGACGAGGUGCUACGGUACUGAAGUGACAGAUGCCCAGCUUCCAGGAAAAGCCUCUAAGCAUCAGGUAACAUUGAAUCGUACCCCAAACCGACACAGGUGGUCAGGUAGAGAAUACCAAGGCGCUUGAGAGAACUCGGGUGAAGGAACUAGGCAAAAUGGUGCCGUAACUUCGGGAGAAGGCACGCUGUGCGAGGUGAAGAGACUUGCUCUCCGAGCUUUGCGCAGUCGCAGAUACCAGCUAGCUGC
rnacentral:rRNA from 1 species